rnacentral:rRNA from 1 species
CCCUUAGAUGUUCUGGGCCGCACGCGCGCUACACUGAACAGUUCAACAAGUCUUAACCUUGGCCGAUAGGUCUGGGUAAUCUUUGAACGCUGUUCGUGAUUGGGAUAGACCUUUGCAAUUAUGGGUCUUCAACGAGGAAUUCCUAGUAAACGCAAGUCAUCAGCCUGCAUUGAUUACGUCCCUGCCCUUUGUACACACCGCCCGUCGCACCUACCGAUUGAAUGGUCCGGUGAAAUCUCGGGACGGCGGCUUGGUCGCUUGCGUCCGACUGCUGAAACUUGAUUAAACCAUAUCAUUUAGAGGAAGGUGAAGUCGUAACA